rnacentral:rRNA from 1 species
UGGGGAAUAUUGCACAAUGGGGGAAACCCUGAUGCAGCGACGCCGCGUGAACGAAGAAGGUAUUCGUAUCGUAAAGUUCUGUCCUAUGGGAAGAUAAUGACAGUACCAUAGAAGAAAGCUCCGGCUAAAUACGUGCCAGCAGCCGCGGUAAUACGUAUGGAGCGAGCGUUGUCCGGAAUUAUUGGGCGUAAAGGGUACGCAGACGGUUUAAUAAGUCGAAUGUUAAAGAUCGGGGCUCAACCCCGCAAAGCAUUGGAAACUGAUAAACUUGAGUAGUGGAGAGGAAAGUGGAAUUCCUAGUGUAGUGGUGAAAUACGUAGAUAUUAGGAGGAAUACCAGUAGCGAAGGCGACUUUCUGGACACAAACUGACGCUGAGGUACGAAAGCGUGGGGAGCAAACAGG